rnacentral:lncRNA from 1 species
UAGCACUGCAACAUCAAUAUUUGCGACUCUUCUUGGACUAUCAACCUGUAAAUAAAUAAUUUUCAUAAUUAUUUAUUUGGAAAAAGCAUCUAGAGCACUUGACUGCAAUAACUCGAAUGACUUUAACUACUAUCAAACCACCCGUGCAUGAAAUUCUUCCCGCAUACUUUAUAUAUCCAAUCAAACAGACCUUUCUAUAAAUAGCAUAAACACAUGUUCCUUACCAA